rnacentral:rRNA from 1 species
ACGGCGAGUGAAGCGGUAACAGCUCAAAUUUGAAAUCUGGCCUCGGUCCGAAUUGUAAUUUGUAGAAGAUGCUUCGGGCGUGGCACCGGUCUAAGUUCCUUGGAACAGGACGUCAUAGAGGGUGAGGAUCCCGUAUGUGACUGGCCGCCUAACCCAUGUGAAGCUCUUUCGACGAGUCGAGUUGUUUGGGAAUGCAGCUCAAAAUGGGUGGUAUAUUUCAUCUAAAGCUAAAUAUUGGCCAGAGACCGAUAGCGCACAAGUAGAGUGAUCGAAAGAUGAAAAGCACUUUGGAAAGAGAGUUAAACAGUACGUGAAAUUGUUGAAAGGGAAGCGCUUGCAACCAGACUUGCGCGUAGUCGAUCAUCCGAUGUUCUCACCGGUGCACUCGACUGCGCUCAGGCCAGCAUCGGUUUGGGUGGUUGGAUAAAGGCCUUGGGAAUGUAGCUCCUUCGGGAGUGUUAUAGCCCUCGGUGCAAUGCAGCCUACCCAGACCGAGGACCGCGCUUCGGCUAGGAUGCUGGCGUAAUGGUUGUAAGCGACCCGUC